rnacentral:rRNA from 1 species
UGGGGAAUAUUGCGCAAUGGGGGGAACCCUGACGCAGCCAUGCCGCGUGAAUGAAGAAGGCCUUAGGGUUGUAAAGUUCUUUCGGUAUUGAGGAAGGUUGAUGUGUUAAUAGCACAUCAAAUUGACGUUAAAUACAGAAGAAGCACCGGCUAACUCCGUGCCAGCAGCCGCGGUAAUACGGAGGGUGCGAGCGUUAAUCGGAAUAACUGGGCGUAAAGGGCACGCAGGCGGUUAUUUAAGUGGAGGUGUGAAAGCCCCGGGCUUAACCUGGGAAUUGCAUUUCAGACUGGGUAACUAGAGUACUUUAGGGAGGUUAGGGAGGGGUAGAAUUCCACGUGUAGCGGUGAAAUGCGUAGAGAUGUGGAGGAAUACCGAAGGCGAAGGCAGCCCCUUGGGAAUGUACUGACGCUCAUGUGCGAAAGCGUGGGGAGCAAACAGGAUUAGAUACCCUGGUAGUCCACGCUGUAAACGCUGUCGAUUUGGGGGUUGGGGUUUAACUCUGGCGCCCGUAGCUAACGUGAUAAAUCGACCGCCUGGGGAGUACGGCCGCAAGGUUA